rnacentral:rRNA from 1 species
CCUACGGGAGGCAGCAGUAGGGAAUCUUCCACAAUGGGCGAAAGCCUGAUGGAGCAACGCCGCGUGUGUGAUGAAGGGUUUCGGCUCGUAAAGCUCUGUUGUUAAAGAAGAACGUGGGUAAGAGUAACUGUUUACCCAGUGACGGUAUUUAACCAGAAAGCCACGGCUAACUACGUGCCAGCAGCCGCGGUAAU